rnacentral:rRNA from 1 species
AGACCCGAAACCCGGUGAUCUAGCCAUGGGCAGGUUGAAGGUUGGGUAACACUAACUGGAGGACCGAACCGACUAAUGUUGAAAAAUUAGCGGAUGACCUGUGGCUGGGGGUGAAAGGCCAAUCAAACCGGGAGAUAGCUGGUUCUCCCCGAAAGCUAUUUAGGUAGCGCCUCGUGAAUUCAUCUCCGGGGGUAGAGCACUGUUUCGGCUAGGGGGCCAUCCCGGCUUACCAACCCGAUGCAAACUGCGAAUACCGGAGAAUGUUAUCACGGGAGACACACGGCGGGUGCUAACGUCCGUCGUGAAGAGGGAAACAACCCAGACCGCCAGCUAAGGUCCCAAAGUCAUGGUUAAGUGGGAAACGAUGUGGGAAGGCCCAGACAGCCAGGAUGUUGGCUUAGAAGCAGCCAUCAUUUAAAGAAAGCGUAAUAGCUCACUGGUCGAGUCGGCCUGCGCGGAAGAUGUAACGGGGCUAAACCAUGCACCGAAGCUGCGGCAGCGAACGUAUCACUUAAAGCGAUUCAGCGGGUUACGAUUGACGGAGCGAAGCGACGUCAAAGCGUAUACAAAGUCGAGUCGGUUUAAGGAUACGUUCGUUGGGUAGGGGAGCGUUCUGUAAGCCUGCGAAGGUGGCCUGUGAGGGUUGCUGGAGGUAUCAGAAGUGCGAAUGCUGACAUAAGUAACGAUAAAGCGGGUGAAAAGCCCGCUCGCCGGAAGACCAAGGGUUCCUGUCCAACGUUAAUCGGGGCAGGGUGAGUCGACCCCUAAGGCGAGGCCGAAAGGCGUAGUC